AACGCACCUUGCGCUCUUUGGUAUUCCGAAGAGCAUGCCUGUUUGAGUGUCAUGAAAAUAUCAACCUUGACUUGGGUUUUGUGCUCUAGUCUUGGCUUGGAAUUGGGUGCUUGCCGCUUUUACGAGCGACUCACCUUAAAUGUAUUAGCUGGAUCUGUCUUUGAGACUUGGUUUGACUUGGCGUAAUAAGUAUUUCGCUAAGGACAUUCUUCGGAGUGGCCUCGUUUCUAGGACGCUUGUCCGCUUCCCAAUACAAGUUCCACCUCGUGGACAUGACUUUUUAUUAUCUGGCCUCAAAUCAGGUAGGACUACCCGCUGAACUUAA
rnacentral:misc_RNA from 1 species